UAGAAACAGAAUAAUUCGGCUUUGGGUGGCAUUUAAAUUCAUGGGCCACCCCGCCAUCCGCCGUCCUGACUCAGGUCUGCCCCACGUCCAGAGUCGAAAACGAGAAGUGGUUGAGCGGCUGGAGGUUUAACGGGGGCUCGCUGCAGGGCCUCCGUUCACGGCGGUCACCGAGGGCUGCUCCUUAGCAAGGAAGGAUGAAAAUGCUCUUCUGUCCCUUAAUUCGAAAGCGCUAGAUGAGCCUGAAGCGGAUUGCUCAGUAAUGCUGACGGUAGUGAAGCUGAGAACAUGUGGGGUGUGCUGGGCCAGCCGGGGCACGAGGCAGCACAGAGCCCGGGCUGUGCCCGCAGCCAGGGGAGCUCUGCCCACCGCUGACAUCGUUGUUCUGACCUCCCCUGGCAGAGGCUCCCUUGCUCCCUUGGCUGGGAUGAAGUGCUGUGGCCGCAGGCAUAUGGGGCACACUGAGACAAACUGAGCAGCUUUUUAAGAAUGUCCUGAGACCCUUGGCAAUGGAGAGAGAUUGCAGUGCAAGCACUUUUCUGGAUUACUCUGUCACCGAUGUCAAAUCAAAGCAUCAAGGAUAUAAAUCUUCAGUAAACAUCUGGCCUCACUUCAGCCAGGUUAUGCAAUGCCUCAAGUACAUUCAGCAGCAGAUUAUGCUGCGUUCUCCAUUUGUGCAAUGCAAGCUAAUGUGAAUAUCAAGUCACAUCAGUGGUCUAGACAAGUAGUUGGGAGAUAAAGACAGCAACCCAAAGCGGGAAGUUUGGCCUCUCAGGGCACGUCAAGGGAAAACUGACAUGUCACUGAAGACCCAGAAAGAAAGAAUGCCAGAGAAGAGGUAAAUCAUAGAAAAGCCUAAGCAUCACCUCUGCUCAGAUGGUAAGCCUUUGGAAUAAUAGCUGUGCUAAGCUUUAUAGAAGUCAUUAAAAACCCUUUGUGAUACUUGAACUCUGCUACUGAAAAAUAGUUGUUUCCACCCAGUGUUAAUAAAUAGAUGUUUGAAGCGCAAGCUGAGCUAAUGUGAAUUCAUGCUCAACUGUGCGUGUCAUGUUUGGAUGUAAACAUCCUUUUCACAUUGUACCAUACCACCCCAGUGCUGCUGUGCUUUUCAUGCAUCUCUGUGGCAUUUACAUCUCAGCUAUCAUUUGGUAGCGUAAAACGCUUGUACUAAAAUGCACUGCCUUUCAAUUGGGCUGGGAGUGUCUAAGUACAUCUAUAUGUAGCCCAGGUAAGUUUUACAGUUGAGCCAACUUGCUCUGAAAUUGCAGCUUUCUUUCCUAAAAAUACUAAAAAGGUUUUUUUUUUUUCCACCUUGUGUCCUUUGAAGGAAGGAAGAAAAAAAAAAAAAAAAAAGCCAGACCCAAACCUUGCCCACCUGGGCAUCCUGCGUGGGAUGGAAUCCAGCCCUGCACUGCCCAGCAAUGGGUCUCCUCCCUGCUUUGUGCAAAGGAAGAUUAAGCAGAAGGGAUAAGAAAAGACAGGGGAAAAAAUGCACUUCUUUGCAGUAAACACAGCCUGCAGCCAUUGGUUUCUCUCAGCAUUGGAUGGCAAUUAUUUCUGUGUAAUAAGCAGUCACCCGAUGACCCUCCCCUUCAGCUUGCAACGCUUCUGCUGUCAAGUGUUAAUCCCUUUGUUAGCUACUCAGCUGCACAUUCAUUUAGGAGGACUAAUGACUUACACUGUUCCUUCUCUGCACGAUUUCAGCAGACGUGUAAUUAGAGGUGAAUGGCAGCUUCAGAGGUACGGCUACCAGUGGGGCCGGGGGCAAAGUCAAAGUGUUUGUCUGAUUUCACCAUGGGCUGUUUCAGUGAGUGAAACCAUGUGGGCGGCUGCAUAUGGGGGGGAAAGGAAGUAGGAAAGGAGAAGCCAAAAAAAAAGAGAAAGGAUAAGAGUCAGUUGUUGGGCAUUUGGGGAGCUCGGAUGUGAAAAGGAACGUGUUUCCAAAUAUUUCUUUGUUGGGGUGGGAGACUGAGCUGAAUGCCAGCAAGGAGCAUGUUAGCACACAGACUGAGAAGGUACCGAAAGGUGAAAAGCUUUGUUUCAAAGUGCUGGAGAUCUGUAGUUGUUAGCAGAGUGAGUGUGAGAGCCAGAAAGUGAUUAAAAAAAAGCAAGUAUUUUGAAGGUGAGCUGAGGAAGUGCUCACGUGCCUCAGCAGUGCCUUACAGAAUACAGCCUCUAUUUUUUUUUCCUAAGUGAAAGCCAUCGAGGUCUGCAACAUCUCGAGAAACAUCCUGCGGCUCUUACACCAUGGGAAGAUGUCCUUUUGAAGUGCAAGUGAAUCCCUGUGUAUGUAUUAACAUCACAGGAUGGAGCAGAAAAGUAUAACAGGGAGCUGAGGUCCUGAUGGAUUUCAGGUAACAACAACAGAAAAAAGCCACAAAGAACCCCAAACCUCUUAGCUCUGAUUUCUAUGCAUAGACAAAGCACAGCUUCGCUGAGCUGCAGUGCUGCUCCCUGUCCUUGCAGCUGUUGGGGCUGAGCCGCAUCCCAGCAGUGUGCGGUGGCCGCUGCUUUUGGUGCUGCAGCGCAGCAUCCCCGGGGCAAUGGACUUCUGCUCGGUCCCAGCAGCAGCGCUGCGUCUCGCAGCUCCCACAGCUGCAUGUUGUCCCCUGCUUUCCCUUUCUUGUUCUUUUUCUUUUUUUUUUCUUUUUGAAAGCUUACCCUGGGUUUUGCUCAGCCCUGUUUCCUCCCAGCAGUGUGUCUGCAGCCCAGGGCUCCCUCCUCUUGUCUGUUCUGGAGCGCGGUGUCUCUCUCCUUCACCCCCCUUGUGCAGACGCACAUCAGUGGCUGAUACAACAACCGUGUUGAAGAACAGCAACUUCCAUUCUCUUGGUUGGUUGGGAGGUAAGCAGAGUGCUAGUUCUAUGAAUUAAGAUAACACACCUGCACCAGCGCUUUGAAUUCAGGGGCAUCAUUUCAUUAAAAAUGACAAAACAGAAUAAAUCAAUAACUAAUUAAAAAUGGCUUUAAUUCAGUCUAGGCUUAUGAUCUAAUAUCUCACACAGUUGUCUAAUACAAUUAUAAACAUAAUUUCAUGCCUAAUGAAAUAUAAAUGAAGCAAAAAAGAACAGCAGACUCCAAAGAAACUUCUCCAUCGGUUGCCUUUGUGGCCCCUCCACCCUACCUGCAUCUCUGUCCCAUCCGUUAGGAAGCGAACAGCCAUCAUGAUACAGUCUUAUCACUCAUACAAAGCCUUAUUAUUUCUCUGGUCUUCCCCCGCAAAGCGCUGAAGAGGAACUCGAGCAGCCUCAGAGAUGACACACGUUGGGCUUCCAUCUCCGCAGCCAUGCAGCUGUGUCACCACCGUUGCUGUGCAGCCAGCAGGGACAGGACACGGUGUGGCUGACAGCCCUGGGGAUGAGGACAUCCAGUUCUGAGGGACUUGCGGUCUGCUGGUAAGCAAACACAAUUAAUUAAAUGGACCUCAGAACGCUGCCUCUGCUUGCCACCCUUCGUAUGUCUGAACUGGAGCCCAUCAGUCAGCCUCUGUUGGUGCCGCUGGAACACCAGGGCAGUGCUCGGGACAUCAGACAAACCUGUGGGAGGGGAAGACAGUUACAGUUUGAUUUUUUGGAUGCUUGAGGUGAAGAAACAGGCUCUGCCCAUGCAGUCACAGAUGGGACCUUAUGAGAUAUUGGUCAUGAAGUGCCAUCAUGGAAGAAGCUCAAGCUUCAGGAAUUCUAAGCAUCACCGGUCCAAACAAAUUUUGAACUUUCAAGCUGGGAAGGGAGAAAGCAUUUUCUUUUUGAUUUUACUCCAGCUAAAGCACAUCGGGCUGAUCCUGCUUUUGACAGUGCAAGUACUGAAGUCAGUCCUGCACCACCACCAGUUCACAGACUGGAAAAGUGGAGAAACACCUGCUUGCUGCAGAGGAUCUGCUAAGGAAGUCCAAAGGGAAACUAUGCACAGAGGGGAAGAGCAGAUGCCAAGUGAAACAGAACCAUGUGGGUCAUCGUUAUGCUGUUCCAGUGAUCCAAGGCGCUGUUUAAACAGCGAUGCUAUUACAGAUUUACUUAGCUGGUUUCUUUCUGAGUGCACCAGAACCCUGAUCCUUGCAACAAAGAAUGCCAAACAAAGCAGCAUUAGGCAAGUUACUGUGAAACGAAGGCAUAUUUGCACAGCAAUAGAAAGAUCUAAAUGGGACCAUAACGAGCAACCAAAUAGUAACGCAGUUGAGGGCAUUGCUUUGUAGGAAAAAAGUGGCUAUUCUGAACCCUGAAGUGCCAAAUGUACUGAAUCACAAGAGCUCACUAAAAUGAGAGCAAACAUCUCAAUCCCUUCUGAGUAUGUACAAAUAUCAAAGCGAUUUGGGGCUGUUAACCUCCUCAGCUCGGUGACGGUAUCUUCACCAUCAGCGCACAGCACUUCCCUGUUCACAAACUGUCUGUAUAAUGGUUCGGUUUGACUGCAGCGCAAUGCAUGACUGAGGGGACGUUAAUAUCGAACAACUCUGAGUAGCUCAGCACCAAGGAUGAUUUAAAUAAAACAGAAAGUAAAGGAAGCAACACUACCCUUUGUAUCUGACAAUGUAGAGGGCGAAGUCGUGCCCAAAAUAUUUGGAUUUUUGUUUUCACAUGGAUUCCAUUGCUCCCACCUUCCUAAAGAGCCUAACAGUUUUAAGUGUACCUCCUUUGUUUCUGCUGCUCUGUCCUCUCUAGUUCCAAAGCUACAGCUGAAGUGCAUCCAUUCCCCCUCCCCUGCUCUGGCAUCCCAGCAGGACGGCAGCCAGGUCUCCUGCCUGUAUGCCUCACCGUGUCAGCUCAAUUCCUCCCCCUAGAAACUGCCUUCCAGUUUGCUGAAUGUUCGGGGACACAGAUAAAUUGUAAAGUGGUCAUGGAAAUAUAAGAAGCAAAGAUAUCUUUCUUUCCAGAUUAGAUAAUUAUCCACUGAGAGAGGAAAUAGCAACAACAAAACGGCUUCAAAUUCUUCUGAACAUAAUUGAGUCUUUUAAGAAAUACCCCAACACCUAAACAGCCAUUUCUUUACUUGGAGGAGGGGAAAAUGCCAUAAAGCUUAAGGAGCAUUUUGUUCGGGAAAUCACAUCUUUCCCUAUUUUGCAGCUGACACAUUGCAUUGCAGAUCUGUCACAGCACAUUACCUCGGUGAUGUAACGUAACGCAACACUGCUGAUGCGACCCAAUCCGAUGUGUCCAACGUGAUACAUCAGCUACAAUAUCUUAAAAGCUUUUUUUCUGAAAACAACCUGUAUAGAAGGGACUCCUCUUUACCAAUUAAAAAAAAAAAGCCUUCCCAAAGAAUUGCAUCACCGGGAGAUAAUUGCUUUUUCACAGGUAAUUAGCAAAUACAAUUAGUGGUGGGAAAAGUUUGCUUUUCAGUAAUUCACACCAAAAAAAAAAAAAAAAAAGGUGAACAAAAGAUGACUGUGGCUGACAAAUAACCGCUUCCCAUGGCACCAGCUGAACCCACCCGAGUAGCAGCGGUUACAGGCUCAGAUCACACCACCACCGGACUCACUUUCUGUUCCCCACCAACACUCGCAGGAUAACCAGAAGUUCACCUUGUGAACUCUUCACAAACUGUCUGGCAGCUGAUUUUGCUCACCUGUGCAGUCGAUGUUAAUCACAGAAUCAAACAAAGAUACACCUCUCAGCACACGCCAUGGGAAGCUCUGCAGAUGCUUUGAGGACUACCUGCAGUCCUGCAGAGAAUUGCUGGAUUUUCACAGACAGGAGGACACGGUCCAUGUCACCAUGAUCAGAUGAAUACUAAGGAUCAAUGGCCUUAAAUAUUCUACUGGAGUGGCAGUGGUAUUUGUCAGCAGAGGAGACUUCAGCUCAAGCAAAUGACACCUUACCGCAUUGAUGGCAGCCAUCCAGAAAGCAACAACCACCCCUCCUCCCUCUAUCACUUGUUGGAGGGCAAAUGAAAGCUAACCUCACAGAACAGCCUGGGUUGGUGGAGGGCACCUCGAAGAGCACCCAGUUCUAAACCCUGCCAUGGGCACGGCCUGCCAACCACUCCAUCCAUCACUCAGUCCCCUCAAACUGCCAGUGGCUGCUAUGGAGGGCUUCAGAUGCUGAAGCAGCCAUCCCCCCACGGCGCUCCCUUUCCCUUCCCUACCCAGCGCUCCAUGUGCAGGCUGCCAGCAGCAGGACUGGGGCGCAGACAGGGCGCCAGGCCCUUCCACUCACUGCUUAGACUGAUUUGUCAAGUGUAAAAUGUAAUUCAAAUCUCCAUAAAAAGCUAUUUGCUCCCUAGCCUCGCAAUUCUUACACCACGUUUCAACCGUGAAAUCCAAUUGGAAAAAAAAAAGAAGCCUUAUGUUCAAGGUCUGAAAAUCCUGCAAGAGCCUUUAGCUCUCAGACUGAAUUGUAUCUUAAACGCCAUCUGACCAGUUCUGUCUCUUUCCUCUGAUGGGAUGGCGUGGUGCCUGGUCUCUAAAAGCCUGAUCCUGAGAGCUGGGCACCCCCCAGACCUAAAUUCAGGUACUCGUGGGCUAUGUAUCCCUCCACAAAGCUGUUGUAACAACAGAAUCCAAGCUGAGCUUUCUCAAGUUUGAAAAUAUGGCCCAAAAUGCAACUGUGCAAAUUAAUCUCUGAAAUUCAGAGCCCAUGCUGCCCAGCUCUGAACGCCGCAGUAUCACAGCCCCCUCUGUACCAUACACACACAUAUUUCCAGCCCUUCCAGAUGCACUGCUGCUCUCCAUGCUGAGGCAAUUCAGCAGAGAGCACAAAUCCUGAUGCAUCUAUUGCAUGCCCUGGACUAUUUCCCCCCCCCCCCCCUCACUGAUGUAUAUCUGGAUACUCCAGACCUCUUGAAUAUAAAAACUCAUCACAGCACUCUGGAACACAGGUUGAUACCUCAGCUGAUACACACCAGUCAGACAAUUCAGGAGCUUUCACCAGUUCAAACAUUUUCUGAAUCAGGAACUUUCAGUGGGGUCCAAGUAUGGUAACAGCACAGGGUUGCCAGCAGCCCAAGUUCUAACCCAGAAAUAGAUAAAGCUUUGAAUUGACACAACUUCUAAUCCCUUAGUUAACAUGAGUUAUAGGAAUCAACACUGAAUUAUAGGAAACAACACAAUGAUUUCUAUUUGCACACACGUUCUGCUCCAAUGCCAUAAAUCAUAACCACAACCUCCACUGGGCUUUCUACAGGCACAGAAAUAGGCAAAAAUCAUUCAUCUUUCAUUAAACACAAGAGAAGUUUCUGGCUUUUAUGAUGAUAACACAAAGCCUGCAAAUACAAUCUGUAUGUAUUCUACAGGCUCAGAAUGAGCCUCGUUAUCAGUGUAUCAUUAGCUACAGAUAGUCCCCUUGUCAAUAGGAUGUGAGAUGUUUCUGAAGAGCCCCGAAGUGAUGUGUGCCACACAUGUGAAUUGCUCCAUACACCCAACCCAGCACAACGUGCCACCUGACCGCGUUAAGCUCGCAGAAGAUAGAAAUCAGAAGAGCUUUUUCCAAACCAAACCUCCCUCUGGGUUCUCUCUCCUGACCUCUGGGUGUGAAGGCAUACGGCUCUCAAAAGGCAUUCUGGAACUUCCAGCCAUCCCUUAUAUCACACAUCUUUUGCUUUCUGCUGUUAUGACACCCAGCCCAUGGGACCCUGUGCUUCUGGGUGAAAUCGGCCACCCCAUUGGAAAGCCAUCAUGCAGUGGCAAUUAUUUCUCUGUGAGCACUAUUCACCCAAUAUCCUGCUUUCUGUUGGAAGAAAUGUUGGCCCGGGUGCCUGACUUCUAACGAAGAACACUUCAUUAUAUCUCAGGGACUGGGAAACCUCAUCUGUAUCUAUUUAUGUAGCACACCUAUGGCUGUGGGAAGAAAAUACCUUUUUUCAAGUCAUGGGUUUUGUUCCAUGACAUGGCAGUUAUCUGCGGCAACAUCAGGUAACAGCACCACCUUCUGCCAACACGUUACCAUCUCUGUAGAAAACCAAUAGAUGCAUUUUCUCUCUGCGAUUUCAGUGGCUUUCUCAAACACUUCUGAUGCAGACAACAAAGUUCAGAGCAAAGCCCUAAGGGCUGUUUUGAAACACCCCAAGCUGUCUUACAGUAAUGAAAUUACUGUCAUGUAACCAACUUCAGAGGUGCAAUGAAUGCCCUGAGCUGGGCAACGCAACAGGGGGAGGCCGGCACUAUGAAACAGCCCUGGGAGGACAGCUUGGCACAUCUGUCUGAGUCUCUACAGGAAACUCACUCCCCAUCUCCGCAGUGUUUUACAUUGGUCCCCAGAGGUGCACAGAAGGGUACGGUACGUCCUACAGCUUUAGAUGAUUUAAGAUGCCUGAAAAUAAUCAUCUUUCUUUUUCUCUAGGUUCUCUUUGUCCUUAGCAGACAAUCUGGGACUGCCUUGCCUUCAGAUGUCCAAAUUUUAGGCAGUUGACUUUCAGAGAGAUGAACAUUACACAAUACACGUAUUUGCUUUUGAGAGCAAAACUGUGUUUUUACCUCAACAAACGCCCUAUUUUCCUGCCAAAUUCUUCCCUCUGUGUGGGACCAACGUGCACAUGGAGCCAAGGAACGCAGGAGAAAUGGUGUCAGCGGACACAGAGGUGAAGAAUAAGGUGCCAAUCAAUAAACCAGUAAUUAGCUCUGUUUGGCAGGCUGGGGGUGUUUGGGUUUUGGUAUUUUGCUGUUGCGUUUUUUUUUUUCCUGCUGGUUUUGAAAGAAGUUUGCUUAUCUAAGUUUUAUAACCACUUAAAUGAAUCCCAGCUCUGUUCAAAUCAAUGAAAGCUUUUGCGAGACAGCUGUAAUUUUAUGUGCAUGUGUUUCAGUAAAUUAGAGGGUUUAGCCUUAAGGAUUCACUUUAGUGUAAUCUACUAAAAAGAUAAGUAGAGCCAGAUGCAGUGUCUUACAACCGCUGGACAGUCGCAACUGGAGCGACAGCACUGACAGCAACUUUAUGGCUUUCCUCAUAGGGAGCAGAUUUCCUGACUCAAAAAGAGCAGUAUUUUACAUAAAUAGUUGUCAAUAUUUUGUAUUUACGAUGCAAAGAAAGAAGGGUGCAAAUAGUGAAAAAAUGAAAUAAAAUUAG
ensembl:lncRNA